CUUCCCCCAAAAAACACACACACACACGGCUUCCCAUUUUCCAUGAAAGAAAGAAACUGAGGCAGAGAGGGAGAGGAAGACUGAGUUGCAGCAGAGGAGAGGCGGAAGGAAGCUCAUCGCGUUGUCGUCGCCUCGUCACCGCGCCACCGCGUCCUGCCGUCCCUGCCACCAUGAAGCCACCGAACCAGGCUGAGGAAGAGAGAGGAAGAACGAGCGUGAGAGAGAGCUCGGCCGCGGGAAGGGGAAACGCGGGUCUGACCCGUCACCGUCGACCCGUUCGUCCCAGCCCGUCACUGUGCGAGGAAGCCGCCACCGCACCGUUGCCGUCACUGGAGAUGCUUCGUGCAUCGCCGUCGCUCCCUGGCGCCACCAAAGAAGCCGUCGACGUUUGUGCCUUCCGCCAUCGUCAGCUGCGUCAUCACCGUGCCUUGUGUCGCUGCUGUUGACCUCCUCGCAGUCCACUGCCGCCGAUUGAGCACCACGAAGAACAGAAAGCGCGCUCGAUGAGUGAGAAGGGAUGGAGGUUGGGUUUUUGUUGCUGUACUACUCCAUUUCUACCUCUACCAUGCCUUGUUGAAGUUGUCGGAGCCUCUGCCAUCAUCGGGGUUGCUGAUUAGUUGAUACCGCUGCCUGGGUCGCUGCGGUACAAGCUGCCGGAGAAAGGAGCUGCAUCUCUAUAUUUUUGACCGCCGGGAGUGGUUAUGUGGCUUCCGGGAUCACCGUCGGAGCUUCGGGCUGAGUUUCUGCCACUUGAGUCCCUGCUGCCGUCGCUGAAAAAGUUUGCCGUUGUCGUGAUCGGAAAUUGUCACCGCUGUCGCUUGAGGUGGCUGCUGAGUUGCCGCUGAACCGGCUCGGAGACUGCCGCUGUUUCGGUUCAGCCGUUCCUUCUUCGGUUCGGAAGCGCAGCUGUUCCUUUGUGUUAUUUCGAGUUGCUGAGACUGUUGCGAAAGUGACUUGGAGCUGAGGUUUUGGUUGCCGUCAGUUUGGUUUGAGACGGAAAGGACUUGAUGAGGCAUUUAGGUUAUGAAAUUGCGUUUUGAGGAUAUGGGCGCAGAAGUCAUGAAGAGUUUAUUUAAUUGUUGUUGAGAUGUUUUGUAUUGCUUUAGAUUAUUAUUUUUGUACCCUCGCCUUUACCUUGAUAUAUUCUGUAAGAGGGAUAGGAAUUGUAUUG